GCCAGGCAUGGUGGUGCACACCUGUAAUCCCAGCAGCUCAGGAGGUUGAGGCAGGAGGAUCUUGAGUUCAAAACCAGCCUCAGCAGCUUAGGGAGGCUCUAAGCAAUUCAGUGAGACCCUGUCUCUA
rnacentral:sRNA from 1 species